rnacentral:lncRNA from 1 species
UGGAAAACAAUAUAAAGUACAGCGAGCUCUAACACUGUAUGGCUUUCCAUCAUGAUUCAUAAAGACAAUGAGUGUGUUUUUCACGGUUCCUGUGUUUAAUAGGGAAACAGUAUAGCCCUGUCUUGCUCAUCAGUGUGAACAGACUACUAUACAGCAUGUGCUUUUACCACUGAGAAUGAAAGAGAAUUAUAAAGAUGGAGGGAGUAUGAUGGCGGAUAAAAGAGAAUACGGUAGAAGAUUCCGUAGUGAUUGUCUUCUUCUUGGAGGGAGGAAGGGAAGGCUGGGGGAUGGAAGGAGCUGACAUGAACAGAGAGGGAGAUUGAUUGGUGAGGCAGAAGAGGGGUGUGUUCCCGGCGGAGGAGCUAGAGAAAUAGGCGGAUGACGAAAGAUAAGGUGGUCGCGAGAGGAGCGAGAUCUCGCUUUAACCCUUAGAGAGGCUGUCCGUUGGUCGGACGGGGUUGCGUGCGCUCGCAUCCGUUUACCGAGAACGGGCUCCAGCAUCUCCAUCUUCUCCUCAACCGAGCCGAUGGAUCUUUGGAGUCAAGCCAAGAUGUGACCGUCAUGUUUUAGAUAGAAAACAGAACCCCUGUUUCUAUAGAAACAGAAAUAAUUGACAAUUAGAAAACUAUUAUUCCUAAAAUGCACUCCUCUAGCCGAACCUUCGCUCCGCCCUCGAGGCCUCGUCGCAUCGACACGAGCAGGCGGACCACCACCGCAGCGGAACCAAAGACACACGGCCCUGUUUCCCAGAGGGAAGACAAAAACAUGAACACCAUUUCCUCUCCUCGGCGCUCCACCAAAGCGACCCCCGAGUCUUCCAGGACCAGGGUGGGGGUCCAGCCUCGUGCCCCCAGAUUGGGCUUACAGAGAAACACAGCUCCCCUCUCUACGACCAAACCCAAACCCAAAAGUGUCCGUGCAGCAGCAGCUGUGUCCAAACGCGCCCCUCCUCCUCCUCCUCUUCCUCUUCUUCCUCAUCUGGACCCCAACUGUAAUGAACCCAGCCUGCCUUGUCUGUGCUGCGACGGCCAUUCCCCCCAGGACAAUAACAGUCUGUUCAACCACAACCACAACAACAACAAUACCAUCUCCAUCAGACAGCAGCUGAAGCUUCAGCCCCCUCCACCACCUCCCCUGCUACCCCAGAGACAGGAGGGGACAGGGGGCAAGACCAAGACACAGGCCAGCCCCUCUCAGACCAGGCCCCAGCCUCAGGUCCUGGCCCCGGCCUGCCCCCCUAAUGGCCUGGAACUGGAGAAAGGAAUAAAAGAUGAGGAGAAUGCAGAUGUUAACAAGAACACAGAUGUGGUCAUAGAUAACAAGAAAGAAACAGAGGAAGAGAUGGAUAACAAGAAAGAAAUGGAGGAAGAGAUGGAUAACAAGAAAGAAACGGAGGAAGAGAUGGAUAACAAGAAAGAAACAGAGGAGGAAGAGAUGGAUAACAAGAAAGAAACAGAGGAAGAGAUGGAUAACAAGAAAGAAACAGAGGAGGAAGAGAUGGAUAACAAGAAAGAAACAGAGGAGGAAGAGAUGGAUAACAAGAAAGAAACAGAGGAGGAAGAGAUGGAUAACAAGAAAGAAACGGAGGAGGAAGAAGAAAACAGUGUAUGAUGAUGAUGAUGAUGAUGAUGAUGAUGACACAUUGGUCCCAUCGUGCUGUGACUUCCCUCCCUCUCUCCUGGAUCUCUCCCUGACCUCCUCCACCUCCUCAUCCUCCACUUCCAUCAGCUCCUGCUCCGAUCUGGAGUCAGACUGCGCCGAUCUCUCCAUCUCUCUCUCGUCCUCUGGCCACAAGGGGAACGCUGAUCUGUUAAUCUCUCAGGACCACACUCUCAUUCACGUUCCUGAACGCUACCCAGCCUCCCGUUCACCCCCAGUCCUGCUCCUCAACCCCAAACCCCCCUCUGUCUCUCGUUGCCCUUCCUCCCCCCCACACGCCUGCUCCCCAGACGAGGGCUACCCCUCCGCCCCCGCCUCCCCCUCCUCCUCUGACUACCUGGGGGUCAAAGGUCAGACAGGCUUAGGGUCAGAGGUCGCCAAACUAGGCCUCCUGGACUUCCUGGAGUCAGUGGGAGACUUUGGAAAGAUGGAGCGCUUUAGCCAGGUGAUUCAGGUGGCUCGCUGGGACCUGGAGGGGGAUCCUCAGGGGGAUCUACUGAGGGAUCGACUGGAUCACCUGGACCGACUGGAGAGUGUCAACAGGCAGGUGAAGCUGGCCCACAUCGCCAGGCUCCAUGAGAAGGGACUGGAUCUAGGUGAUCUGGGCAAGGAGGAUCUCUCUGAUGUUCUGGAUGAGAUGGGGAACGUGGAUAUGUCUUGGAAGCUGUAUAAGGGCCGGGGAGGGUCGUUGGGAGAUUCCCAGGAGUUCUCUGAUGCUGGAGUGGAUCUGACAGCACCUUCAGACUGUGACGAGCCCCUGGUCUCACAAUCAGAGACCUCUUCGCCCAUAGAGCCCCCACCGAGACCCCCCAAACCCCCUGCCCGCUAUGCCAGCGUGAACUCUGAACUCCACACCUACAUCAACAUCAGCCGUGACAUCACCCCCUCCGUCUCUGUCUGCACCUCUCCAUCCUCAUCCCCCACUUUCUACACCUUCAGGUGUGAGAAGGCCCUCCCUCCUUCCCCACGCUCCGUCCACCCUCCUCUUCUCUGUCAGCCCAUCCCUUACUUUACUCUCUACAAAUCUUCCCCUCUCCCAUUCUCCCUCCCCUCCUCCACUCCCCCC